GACGAACGCUGGCGGCGUGCCUAAUACAUGCAAGUCGAACGCAGUGGGGACGGGUGAGUAACACGUGGGUAACCUCCCAUCACAGGGGAUAACACUUGGAAACAGGUGCUAAACCGCUACUGAUGGUUCGCACCGCGGUGCAUUGGCUAGUUGGUGAGGUAAAGGCUCACCACGGCCACGAGGCAUAGCCGACCGGAGAGGGUGAUCGGCAACACUGGGACUGAGACACGGCCCAGACUCCUACGGGAGGCAGCAGUAGGGAAUAUUCGGCAAUGGACGAAAGUCUGACCGAGCAACGCCGCGUGAGUGAAGAAGGUUUUCGGAUCGUAAAACUCUGUUGUUAGAGAAGCGGUAUCUAACCAGAAAGCCACGGCUAACUACGUGCCAGCAGCCGCGGUAAUAC
rnacentral:rRNA from 1 species